rnacentral:tRNA from 1 species
GGAACCGUGCCUGAAAACAAGGACCUCCUUGAUAGGGAGAACCAUAGGGGCGAAACCCCCCUCGUUUCC